rnacentral:tRNA from 1 species
AGAGGACUUAGUUUAAUGAAAAUAGUUGUUUUGCAUGCAGCAGAUGUUAGAUUGAUUUAGCAGUCCUUA